ensembl:misc_RNA Metazoa_SRP Metazoan signal recognition particle RNA
GCCAGCCAACAUGAUGGCACUUGCCUGUGGUCCCAGCUACUCAAGAGGCUGAGGUUGCUUGAGUCCAGGAGUUCUGGGCUCUAGUAUGCUAUGCCAGUAGAGUGUCCACACUAAGUUCAGCAACAAUAUGGUGACCUCACAGGAGCAGGGGACCACCAGGUUGCCUAAGGAGGGAUGAACCCGCCCAGGUCAGAAAUGAACCAGGUUUAAAUUCCUGUGCUGAUUAAUAGCAGGAUGACACCUGUGAACAGCCACUGCACUCCAACCUGGGCCACAUAGCAAGAGUUGGUCUCA